AAGAAUAUGAGAUACAGGAAGACUUCUUUCCAGAAACACUGAAUUAUUGAAAGAUUUCUGAAAAGCCUUUCACUGUCAUCCUGAGAGAGCUGAAAGGAGGGUCCCUGUUUCCAGAACUGAGAAGCCAGCAGUUGCAGUAAUGAUAGGAGAUGACAUUGGCAGCGAGUUUUCUCACAGUGAUGCAUUAGUGACCAGUCUGCUUAGUCAUAGCUACCAAAACACUUGGGCACCUAUCAGCACAGAGGAUGAAGUGUUGAGUCAAGAAUGAUUCUGAGGCUACAAAACUAGAUUGUGGAGAAUGGAAUGAAGAGUAGAGAAACUGGAAGCAAGGAGAACAAUGACGAGGCUACUACAACAGUCCAGAUGAGGGGUGAUAAAAGCCUGACUAGAGAAGUGAGCAGGCAUCUUGGUGUCAGUCGAGUGCUGAGCUGUGUCAAGCAGAUAACUCCUGACCUUGCGGACACCUCACCAGGCUCAGAUAAAGACAAACUGUGCUACACACUCCAGUUCCUGGACUGCUGAUGGCUCUCUCUACUUUUCAAAGCUUACGAGUCACAACUUAAUUCAUCCUAUCUCCUUUACCUAAGAUGGAUUCUUAACCAUUUUUGUGACAUGGACUCUUGGCAGUCUGAUGAAGCCUCCUCAGAAGUGUUCUUAAACACAUAAAAGUAAAAUACUUCGGACUGCAAAGGAACCCAAUUAUACAAAAAUACACUUACGGAAACGUUUUCAAACAAGCUCAUGGAUCCCCAGCAUUGUAUGGAGGUGAACCUACAUUUUCCAGUUCUACCAGUUAAGUCAGUUCUUACCAAACUGGAAAGACUUCAGAAGCAGGCCUGGCAAAUGUCCUUCAAACAUCAGAUUGACUGAGCAUGGAAAGAUUCAUCAGGAGAAAGGGAAGAAGCAGGUGAUGGAUUUAUGUUUGCCACAGCAACUCAUGAGCCAUCUUCUAAGACCAAGGCAGAGCAUCUGC